CCCUGCUCCAGCCCGGCUGUGGCCCAAGGAGAGGGAGAGUCCCAGCCAGGAUUCCCGCUGCUUUUGUGCUCUUGCUAAACCCAGGACAGGAAGUUCUGGACCUGCGUGCAGGGCAGCCACAGCCCCGGAGCUCCUGCACAAUCAGCCAGGAGCCCUGUGUUGACUUUUUCAGGCCGAGUUCUCACCAACAGACAUGUGCUUCAGGAAAGUUAUUGCUGAACAAAUAGCACGGGGCAAGUGAGCUCUCGCGCCCCUUGCAGCCGCUGGGCUUGGCUACUGCUCAAGGUGAGCCCCAGGCAGCGAAACCUGUUCGGCCCCACGUCCUUUGUGAAAGGCCUCCUCCGGGCGCCCGGUGGCUGUCGCUGGAUUUCAGGGUCGUUGGGGCAGGGGCCUAAAACUCUACUUGGGAGUUCUCCGUGGGCAGUAAAUAAAUGUUUGUCAAAGACGGAAUGACUAAGUCAAUAAAUCAAUUAACGUGUGUUUAGCGAGCGUCACCCUGAGGCCGCCCGGAGUAGCCCUCCCGGGAAGAGCCACCGACCCCCGCAGCGCCCCGCGGGGCCGCAGGACCGAGCUCGCACCCUUGGGACCCCUGGACACCAGGCGCCGCGGGACUCCCCCCGCACGUGGAAAUUUGCUUUGACUUUGUUCCAGUUUGGUCUUUGCAAUUCACGUGAUGGGUGGCGCAGCUCUAUACCUUUUGCAAAGGCUUUGGGUUGAAGACAGUCGCGUGCUAACCAGCAGGAGGACGGCGACCUCGGGCAGUGGGCAGGCGCGUGCCAGCAGCCUGAAAGAGCCCCACGAAGCUUUGUCAUUUGAACUACCAUAUUUUCCAGAACGCAAAACGGACAACUGAGCACGAAACAGGAUUAUUCUCACCAGAGAGUUUCAGAUGCCAGCAGUUUGAUUUACAGCCAUCCUCCACUUUGGAAAAGGAUUCCAAAGUGGCCAGGAUUCAAUAUGUGACACUCCUAAGUCUUAACUUUAAAAUUAUCAGGACUACUUUGGCAAAGGGACAAGAUGACAUUCUAAUACAUGCUAUAAAUUUGACACGUGAUGGUGGAUCCUAAACAAAUGUUUAUCAAAUGAAUGACUGUAAUGACUUCAUGCCAGCCCCUGUGCAAUAUGCUGCAAAUGAAGCAGAGUCCCUGCCCUCAAGCACUUCGCAGUCUAGUGAGGAGGACAGGUGUGUAAACAAAUUGUUACAGUGAGAUUGCUGUCAUCUAGGAGAAAAAGCAGAAACAUAAUAAGAGCUCUUUAUUGCUAAGGUACAAGGGGCAAAGGGACAUGUGGCUCAAGCCUACGGCAGGGACCGGAGUGCCACGUUGAAGAGUCUGAUCUUUAUCAGGGAGGCAACAUGGAGCCACAAAAGGAGCUCUAAGCUGAGGAGUGACAUUAUCAAGACUGCAUUCUGGACCAAUCGCUUUGCAGCUGUGCUGGCAAUGGCUUGGCUAAAGAAGACUGGGGAGAGGAUGGGCCAGCUGGGAGGACAUUUCAAAUGUGCAGAUGAUAGAUGUUGACUUUUUGAACCAAGGGAGCACCAGGAAGGGACAAAAAGGCAGGCACACAUUUAGGAGGUGUUCAGAAGAGAGGUGCGAUGGACCUCAGUGACGGAUCUGGUACAGGAGGUAAAGGGGAGAGCAUUCCGAGCCCCCCCCCCCCCCCUUUCCUGGUUGGGGAACAAAGUGGUUGUCAAAAUGCUAACAAGAUAGGAGACCCAAGGGGAGGUGGAUGGGGAGGUGGGAUAACUGGGUGAUGGGCACUAAGGAGGGCACUUGAUGGGAUGAGUAUUAGGUGUUAUACUAUAUGUUGGCAAAUUGAAUUUAAAUAAAAAAAAUGUUUUUAAAAGGCA
rnacentral:lncRNA from 12 species